rnacentral:rRNA from 1 species
ACGCUCGACACCUACUGGAGGCAGCAGUGGGGAAUAUUGGGCAAUGGGGGGAAACCCUGACCCAGCAACGCCGCGUGGAGGAAGAAGGUCUUCGGAUUGUAAACUCCUGUCCUUAGGGAAGAAACAAAUGACGGUACCUGAGGAGGAAGCUCCGGCUAACUACGUGCCGGCAGCCGCGGUAAUCUGAGCGGGCUGGCAAGGC